AAUAGGUAAAUUAUGUAUCUAAUGUCUGCUACGGGUAUUCAAUUUUGAAUUUGUUAUUAAUGUGUUUUCUAGCUUUGCUCAUCAAGUCCUUUACUACCAUUCCUAUGAUGAGAAAUAAAUGUUUUGUUUAAAUGGCGUAAAAUCAAAUUGACAGUAACAACAAACAACUCACAGACACAAUAUACCAGUAAUAAUAUUUUAGCUAUAUUUAUAUAAAAAUAAGUCAAAUUGAAAAUGUAGCUUGCUCUUCAGAGGUGUAAAAUUUUGCUAAAAGCAAGUCGCCCUGCAGGGCCACCAGAGUACAAAAUUAGGUCGCCCAUACUUAUUUUGUGGUUGCCCCACAUUUUUUACAGUAAAAUGAUAAUGAUUCUAUGUUUUAAGCAAUCAGUUGUUUACUUAACUACACUGCAGAUCCAUGGAUCAUGAUCGCGAUAUAGCUUGGGAUGUACAUGUAUAGCACAUCAUUUUGUUUAAUAUAAUUUUUUUAAACAACUCUAUUGGCUUACCCAUUUAAAUGAAUUACAUCUACGUUAAAUUAUCAAACUAAUUUAGUUAAAAAAAAUUUGAAUGGCAAUUAUGGGUUAUACUAACAGGUAACAAUGUUACCCUUGUCAAAAAAUAACCCACUUUCAUACCAAAACACACUUAAACCAACAUAAAACUGUGUUUUUUCUGAGUUUUUCUUAGCGGAAGUUGGUUUUUGCUAAUAAAAGUGAGUUUUAUGUGCGCUAAACUGUGCUUAACUGAGUUUAAAGUUGGUUAUUUUAAGAAGAUGUGUGUUUAAGCGAGUUUUUUUCAGUAAGAAGUCGGUUUUUUGUGUGUCAAAAGUGAGCCUUUUUAUUUAUGAGUUGGUUUAUGUGUGUUUAAGUGUGUCUUUUUGUUUUAUAAGCGUGUCUUUUACAACAGAAGUUGGUCUUUUUUUAAACAGAAGUGGGUUUAAGCGAGUUUAACUUGGUCUUUUUGUAAAUAAGUUGAGAGCUGCAACGAGGCUUAAAGACUCACUUUAACACACUUUUCAACAAGUUGGUCUUUUGUUUAUUAAUAUAACUCAUCAAUGAAACAAUAAUUCUUCAACUGGGUCUUUGUUUGAUGUUUAUAGCCAUAAAUAAAACAAGUCAAUUGUAAAGGGGCUUUUUUUACAGCUUGUUUGCCAUUGUCCCUAUUGUACAUUUGUGUGCUCCCCAUAAUUUUUAGGGAAUAUUGGAUGAAAAUGGCUCUUUCAGAACAUCACAGGUUCACAGAUGGACAACAAGUAUCACUGACAAAAACUAACAAUGGUCAAGCUUAGUUUUAUACAUGAAAAUGAAAGAGUUUGUGUUUCACUUUGAAUUUUUUCUUUAUGUUUGUUUUUAUUAUAAACAAUAUCUUAUGAUUGUUUUAUGUCUUAAUUUUUUAUUUUUUUUUAAACAAUCUCAUAUGAUUGUUUAUAUUUGUUUAAAACAGUAUUUACUUGUAAAAUCUGCAUAUUUAAAUAAUUAUGGUAUUGGAAACAUUAUUUUGGAAAUAAUCUAUUUAUUUUUGUACAUAAGUUAUGCAAGAUUUUGAUAUAUUCGCAUAUGAUACCAUCAUAUCCAUUUUCUUAAUUUGGAAUAAAAUAAUAAAAUGCCAAACAUUACCUGUGUUACAUAAACUGUCAACAAAAUAACAAGACAAUACCUUAAAACACCCUUAUUUCACACCACUAACAAUAAACAGUUAACAAUCUGUCAGGCAUUCAGAGCUAAACAGGGUACUGAUUAUCUAGGGGUAGAUAAGGCUACUGAUGGGGUCCUAGAGAUAAGGCUGUGUGGAAUAAGAUAUAAGGCUUUUGAUUGGCUAUUGCACUGAGGAAGUUAUCUUUUUGAAAACAACAACUUUUGAAAAACAAGCUGGUGUCAGCAACUGAAUAUUGAGCUAAAUUUAAUUCAGCAACAUUAAUAUAAAGAAGUGAAAGACUUAUAAUGGUAGUGUAAAAUGUCUUGAAAUUCUGUCAGCAUGAAGUAUUGUGUGAUGAAAACAAUGUGUUUUUUACUGCAAUGUGGAAAUCAAUAAUAAGUUGGUUGGAAAGGAGGUUGAACUGCCUGUUGUUGUUUUUGGAAUACUGAAGAACAGUUUUAACAGGUUUGUAUUGUCAUUUCUUCACCCCUUUUUUUAUUUAGUUUAUUGAAUUAAUUAUGAUCAUUAUCAUAUUUAUGUAUUGUCACUGGGAAAUGUAAAUGGAUAAGUUAUUGUAUUGCAAUUUAAAGGAUAAACAACACAUUUUGAAGCAAAAAUAGAUAAACUUACACAUGAAAAAGUGUAAAUGUUGUGUACAGUGAAUAAUUAUGGUUGUGUUUCAUGGUUAUUGUCAUCUAAAAUUUUAUUUAUAUCUAUUUCUGGUUAUUACUGAACGGAUUUCUUUCCCUCUUACUUAAUUAGAACUUAUAUAUUUUAAUUUUGAAGGUUAAACUCUUGCCACAAGGCAAAAUUGACAUCGUUGGGAAGAUCCUUUGGAAAAAAUGUGCAUCAUCGCCUGCCUGAUGUAUGGACUUUUAAACCUGGUUUUUACCCUGCACAAGCUGGCAAACUUGAGGGGAACAAGAGUGGGAAAACCUCGCCCUGUCCUUGACCAAGAAAGCUCGAUUUGUUGAGAGAUCAACUGGCAUAAGAGAUGCUCAAGAGGAGAAGGACACAAGCAGCAUCAAUGGAACAACUACAUGUCGCUCCAGCGCCCGCUUUCCAGGUCUCUACCAGCUGCUUUCCAGGUCCCUCCACCCGCCAAGAUCAGGUCUAGGUCCCUGCACUGGCUGCUUUCCAGGUCCCCUAGCGGUCAAGGUCUCUCCAGUAGCUGCUGUGCAGGUCCCAACACCGUAUGCCGUCAAGGUCCCUCCUUAAGCUGAAAUCCAGGUUCCUCAUUCCACUGCGGUUCAGGUACCUCCAACAGCUGAGAUCCAGGUCUCUGCAGCAGCUGCGGUCUAAAUACUCCACCCGCAGUGGUCCAUUGCGGUCAAACUUUUGCUUUAAAAUCUUCCAUAAAUGUCUAUUAUUUUAUAAUGUAUUGUAAAAAUAAUCUGUUAGUAUUAAUUUGCGGUGUACUAUUUUUGUCAUAUAAACAUAAUUUUCGUA